UGUUUUCACUUGCUGUCACCAACUUGGAAGUGGGCAAUCUCUGCAAUACUCCGCUAUCCCUUCUGUUUACCGGCAUCUAUUGUUAGUGUUCAAAUGCUGUCAUGCUGAAUUAUCGUUGUAUCGUCGGCUGCCACAGUCAGUCAGACAGGGAGA